rnacentral:misc_RNA from 1 species
AGAGACUUUUUUUAAUUUGAGUGGUGGAAAUAUUAAGAAAUAUUUACUAGAUAGAGUAGAAUUCUUUAUUUUAUUAUUAUUUAUAAAUUAGGUUAGAUUCCUAAUUAGAUUAAGACCCAGGGGCUAACAAUAUAAAUAGGAGUACAGUAAAAAGACUCUUUGACUUUUGCCUAUAGAGAGGCUUCCGCUCAUCGCAGAAAAAGG